rnacentral:rRNA from 1 species
UACAGAGGGGGCAAGCGUUGUUCGGAAUUACUGGGCGUAAAGGGCGCGUAGGCGGCCUGCUAAGUCGAACGUGAAAUCCCUGGGCUCAACCCAGGAACUGCGUCCGAUACUGGUUGGCUUGAAUCCGGGAGAGGGACGUGGAAUUCCAGGUGUAGCGGUGAAAUGCGUAGAUAUCUGAAGGAACAUCAGUGGCGAAAGCGACUUCCUGGACCAAUACUGACGCUCAUGUGCGAAAGCGUGGGGAGCAAACAGG